rnacentral:tRNA from 1 species
GGGGCUGUAGCUCAGUGGUAGAGUGCUUGCCUAGCACGUGUGAGGCACUGGGUUCAAUCCUCAGCACCA